AUUUACCAGAAGACCCAUGUAAACUAAACAAAGAAGCAAGACGUAGAUGGGCAAGAAAGGAAAUAUGGAGCAGUAUAAAUUAGGGCAUUUUGGCUCAUCAACAAGGCACCGUUAGCUUAGAAUCAAAGAAUUAGGGUUGAGAGAGAUUGGGGAUUUCUUUAAGGGUGGUUACCCCUCUCUCUAUACCCAAUGAUUUCGUCAUCGUGCAAAACAAACAGCCCUUAUGCAGAAAGAAAACCCAAGAAUAUACGUUCAUGUUUAGGAAAUGUUUAUUAACGGUUUAAUUAUGGAAAAAAAAAAUAAAAAAUUCUCUACUUGCUUGGCUGAGCUUUGCUUUUUGAGUUCUUUUUGGGGCUGUGAUGAUUUUUCGUUUUUUUGUUCCUGAGCUAAUGGAUCGGGUAUUGAGAUAAUCCGACGCGUAUCUUGGCGUGGCAAACCUGGAUGGCUCUGUGAUUAUCAGAUGCAACCAACGGUUCGCAGCCAUGGCGACGUCAAUUUCUCUUUUCCCGCUUAUUAUACACGGAUCUGAGCCUCGAAUUAGGAUUUCAAUUUUCGGAAGCGUACACUUUGGUUUAUUGAAAUUCCUUGGAAAAAGUGUUGUGUGUGUGUGUGAGUUUUUUUUUUUUUUUUUUUUUUUUUUUUUUAACGAAUGUUGGCAAAAAAAAAAAUAAAUAAAUAAA
rnacentral:lncRNA from 1 species